rnacentral:misc_RNA from 1 species
CGCACAUUGCGCCCUCUGGUAUUCCGGGGGGCAUGCCUGUUCGAGCGUCAUUAUAACCACUCAAGCUCUCGCUUGGUAUUGGGGUUCGCGUCUUCGCGGCCUCUAAAAUCAGUGGCGGUGCCUGUCGGCUCUACGCGUAGUAAUACUCCUCGCGAUUGAGUUCCGGUAGGUUUACUUGCCAACAACCCCCAAUUUUUUAAGGUUGACCUCGGAUCAGGUAGGGAUACCCGCUGAACUUAA